AAAAAAAUAUGCUGAAGUUCGCAAUACAGAAAUAAUUAUUAAUAAGAUAGCUUUAAAGCCCUGCUCAGCUUUUGAAUGUUGGGAAUUGACCCAGAGGUGGCUGUAACCUAAGAUGGUUCCUUCAGUAAUGACCAUUUUUUCUUUUUCAAGAUGAUGAUUAUUCCCCACCUUCUAAGAGACAAAGACCAACGAGCCACCACAGCCACCAGUCCCAGAACCCGCCAAUGCUGGGGAACGGAAAAUGAGGGAGUUCAACUCUGGCCCUCACAAUCCAGUGGAGGAGACGAAACUCAUCUGCCUCUGUCCCUCUGGGCACGCCUCAUGCCAGGUGCAUCUGUGGACAGGGGCCAUGCUCCUGGGCUUCCAAAGUUGGAGAAAGCUGCCAGGCUCAGGUCUGAAGGCCAGAAUUCUACAGUAAGUCCUACUGAGUCAAGGUGGGAGCAGGGUCGGUAGCUUCCGAGGCUCUGCGGGAGAAUCCGUUUCCUGGCCGUAGAGGUGGCCUGCACUCUGCAGCUUGUGCUGCCCGUCUCGAAUGACUGGAGUUUCCUGCUUCUGUCACUACACCUCCCACCCUCUCCAUCACCUGCUCUGCUCUUACAAGGAUCCGAAGAAAUGGAAUCAUCGUAUCGCUGAUCUACGUAAACAAACUGAAGAAUUGUCUGAAAGAAAAUAUGGUAUGUCUAAACUGGAAAAGUCUUGUAAUCUUAUGUUCAUGGGCGUUUACACAGUGGAGUUACUGUUCAUCAUGGGGGUACCGUGGACAAGCCCAGGGCUGCCGGCGAGUCAUGCCAUCCUUACAUGUUUCUCCUUACAUGAACUUAUGAAUUCAACAGGUGAAGAUUUACAACUUGAUAAAUCAACUUUGUCAGCUCGAGCUGUAAAAGCCAAAGGUCCGGUGAUGAUCCCAUACCCUUUUUUCCAGUCUCAUGUUGAAGAUUUUUAUGUAGAAGGCCUUC
rnacentral:lncRNA from 1 species